rnacentral:rRNA from 1 species
GUGAGUAAUACAUAAGUAACUUGCCCUAGACAGGGGGAUAACUAUUGGAAACGAUAGCUAAGACCGCAUAGGUACGGACACUGCAUGGUGACCGUAUUAAAAGUGCCUCAAAGCACUGGUAGAGGAUGGACUUAUGGCGCAUUAGCUGGUUGGCGGGGUAACGGCCCACCAAGGCGACGAUGCGUAGCCGACCUGAGAGGGUGACCGGCCACACUGGGACUGAGACACGGCCCAGACUCCUACGGGAGGCAGCAUG